GCGGCAGGCCUAACACAUGCAAGUCGAGCGGUAACAGGAGAAAGCUUGCUUUCUUGCUGACGAGCGGCGGACGGGUGAGUAAUGUAUGGGGAUCUGCCCGAUAGAGGGGGAUAACUACUGGAAACGGUGGCUAAUACCGCAUAAUGUCUACGGACCAAAGCAGGGGCUCUUCGGACCUUGCACUAUCGGAUGAACCCAUAUGGGAUUAGCUAGUAGGUGGGGUAAAGGCUCACCUAGGCGACAAUCUCUAACUGGUCUGAGAGGAUGAUCAAGCACACUGGGACUUAGACACCGUCCACACUCCCACCCGAGUUAUCACUGGGGAAUAUUGCACAAUGGGCGCAAGCCUGAUGCAGCCAUGCCGCGUGUGUGAAGAAGGCCUUAGGGUUGUAAAGUACUUUCAGCGGGGAGGAAGGUGAUAAGGUUAAUACCUUURUCAAUUGACGUUACCCGCAGAAGAAGCACCGGCUAACUCCGUGCCAGCAGCCGCGGAAAUACGGAGGGUGCAAGCGUUAAUCGGAAUUACUGGGCGUAAAGCGCACGCAGGCGGUCAAUUAAGUCAGAUGUGAAAGCCCCGAGCUUAACUUGG
rnacentral:rRNA from 1 species